rnacentral:rRNA from 1 species
AUCUUUCAAGUGUCUGCCUUAUCAACUUUCGAUGGUAGGUUAUACGCCUACCAUGGUAGUAACGGGUAACGGAGAAUAAGGGUUCGACUCCGGAGAGGGAGCCUGAGAAACGGCUACCACAUCCAAGGAAGGCAGCAGGCGCGCAAAUUACCCACUUCCAGAACGGAGAGGUAGUGACGAAAAAUAACGAGACAGUCCUCUUCGAGGUCUGUCAUCGGAAUGGGUACAAUUUAAAUCCUUUAACGAGGAUCUAUUGGAGGGCAAGUCUGGUGCCAGCAGCCGCGGUAAUUCCAGCUCCAAUAGCGUAUAUUAAAGUUGUUGCGGUUAAAACGCUCGUAGUUGGAUCUGCGGCCUCGGAGAACGGUCCCCCGAAAGGGUGGUCACUGUCUUCUCCUAGCCCAAAUUCGAGUCGUCUCUAGGUGCUCUUUACCGGGUGCUUACAGUGACU